AGAUACCCCACUAUGCCUAGCCGUAAAAAAUCAACCUACACUAACAAACGCCAGGGAAUUACGAGCCCCAGCUUAAAACCCAAAGGACUUGACGGUGUCCCAACCAACUAGAGGAGCCUGUUCUUUAACCGAUGAUCCACGAUACACCUAACCACUUCUUGCUUUUCAGCCUGUAUACCUCCGUCGAAAGCUUGCCAUAUGAACGUACAGCAGCAGGCCUAAGGGCUACCCCGCCAAUACGUCAGGUCGAGGUGCAGUUAAUGAAGUGGGAGUAAUGGGCUACAAUUUCUAACCUAGAACAAACGAAACACUACAUGAAACAUAGUCAUGAAGGCGGAUUUAGCAGUAAAUAGAGAGCAGAGAGCCCUAUUAAACCUGGCCCUGGGAUGUGUACAAACCGCCCGUCACCCUCUUCGAUAACUCUACGUCAGCUUCAUAACCUGAACCCAUACUCCCAUAGAAGAGGCAAGUCGAAACAUGGUAAGUGUACUGGAAAGUGUACUUGGAACAACAAGAUGUAACUUAACUAAAGCCCCUCGUUUACACCGAGCAAAUGUCUGUGAGAAUUCGGACCACCUUGUGCCUACAAUCUAGCCCCACCCCACCCCCCGCAUUCACAUUAUCCCAGAUGCAUAUUAUAAACAAAACAUUUUAUCUUCUAAGUAGAGGUGAUCAAAAAGUAUCUGAGCGCCUUAGAGACAGUACCGNANGGGAAAGAUGAAAUAAAAAUGAAAAACCUAAGCACCACAUAGCAGAGACACCACCUCGUACCUUUUGCAUCAUGGCCCAGCCAGUCCAACCAAGCAAAAAGAAAUUUCAGCUUGCCCCCCCGAAACUAAACGAGCUACUUCAAAACAGCUUUAAGAGCUAACCCGUCUCUGUGGCAAUAGAGUGGGAAGAUUUUUAAGUAGAGGUGAUAAGCCUACCGAGUUAAGCGAUAGCUGGUUACUCAGGAGAAGAAUAUUAGUUCUGCCUUAAAUCCCCACAUGUUAUUAAACAAACCCAAAGAUUUAAGAGUUAUUCAACUNAGGCCAGCUUAUUUGAAACAGGAUACAACCUAAAAGACAGGGUAAACANUCCCCCCCCCCCCCCAUAAAAAGUAGGCCUAAAAGCAAGCCACCUUUAAAAAAGNGUCAAAGCUUAUCAUGAGCCACCAGACUAAAUCCCACCAUUACCCCUGAACCCCUCUACCAUANUGAGUGAUUCCAUAAAUAUAUGGAAUACACCAUGCUGAGACUAGUAACAAGAAUUUAACAUUCUCCUAAAUGCAAGUAUAACCCAGACUGGAUACCACCACUGGCGAUUAACGAAGAUGAGCCUACUACAGCAACACCAACAAGAAAACCNUGUAAGACACACCCGUUAACCUAACACCAGAGCAUCUCAGGAAAGAUUAACAGGGGAAGAAGGAACUCGGCAAAUGACAGCCCCGCCUGUUUACCAAAAACAUCGCCUCUUGCCACCUAUAAGAGGUCCAGCCUGCCCAGUGACAAAGUUUAACGGCCGCGGUACCCUAACCGUGCGAAGGUAGCAUAAUCACUUGUUCUUUAAAUGGGGACUCGUAUCAAUGGCACCACGAGGGCUAUACUGUCUCCUUCCCCUAAUCAGUGAACCUGAUCUCCCUGUGAAGAAGCAGGGAUAAAUCUAUAAGACGAGAAGACCCCAUGGAGCUUAAAACCUAAAAGCAACUCUCCCACACAAUCCCGCUAAACCCAAAGAGACCUGCAUAUCGGUUUUAGGUUGGGGCGACCACGGAGUAAAAACCACCCUCCACGACGAAAAGAGCUAAGUCUUUAUUUAAGAGCCACCCCUCUAAAAAUUAGCAUACUAACGAACAAUGAUCCGAUAUCGAUCAACGGACCAAGUUACCCUGGGGAUAACAGCGCAAUCUACUUCAAGAGCCCCUAUCGACAAGUAGGCUUACGACCUCGAUGUUGGAUCAGGGUAUCCCAGUGGUGCAGCCGCUACUAACGGUUCGU
rnacentral:misc_RNA from 1 species